GUGCACACUUUGGCAGCACAUAUACUAAAACUGGGAUGAUACAGAGAAGAUUAACAUGGCCCCUGUGCACAGAUGACAUGCAAAUUUGUGAAGCAUGCCAUAUUUAA